rnacentral:rRNA from 1 species
UACGGGGGGAGCAAGCGUUGUUCGGAUUUACUGGGCGUAAAGGGCGCGUAGGCGGCGCAACAAGUCACUUGUGAAAUCUCCGGGCUUAACCCGGAGCGGUCAAGUGAUACUGUCGUGCUAGAGUGCGGAAGGGGCUACUGGAAUUCUCGGUGUAGCGGUGAAAUGCGUAGAUAUCGAGAGGAACACCUGCGGCGAAGGCGGGUAGCUGGGCCGACACUGACGCUGAUGCGCGAAAGCCCAGGGGAGCGAACGGG